AUGGUAAACCUGUUCAUUUUUCUUUCCUUGAGGAUCGAUCGUUUACGUGAAGAAAUCAUCUAUCUACCGCAUUAGGGUCUUUCCGAGAAAUCAGAAGAGACAAUGGAGGCACAAAGCGUAUAAUUAUCUCCAUAGUUACUGCGCGCAGCCUUAGUGUGACAUCUGGGAUCGUUACACAUCUAAUUUCAGAUUUCAGUCAGAUUUCAACUCUCCGUGAUCCAAGUCAAGGUUCCUCUCCUUCCGUAGACAAUGAUGCAAAAGUAAAAAAUCUCUUCUUUGCUCAAAAAAGGGAUUUAAUCAAACUGCGUCAUGCUUGUGCCCACAGAUACAUAACACUGUCUAAACAAGCACUAUUCGCGCUAGAUAGCCUGAGGCUAAUUCAAAGGUGAGACAGGUGGUUUAUUUAAGAGUGUCGUCCGAAUCGAGUUAGUGUAAAGAAAAUGCCUCAAAAUUGCACCGUAUUCCUGAGACUGAACAAACUUUAUUUCAUAAACUUGUCUCUAUUAUCUACGACACACGGCUGACGGUCGGGAUGUUGUUCUCGUGACCAUACAGAAGGACAAUUAGAGCUCAACUCAUCUUAGCAACUACAACUACGACAACGAUACGACUGACAAGCGCCGUCGUUAUGGAUAGAACAUCUACAAACACGGAGGAAGAAAGAGAAAAACUGAUAACAUAUGAGAGGCCAAGCUAUGAAAGUGUGGUCAGGUUCAAUGCCAAUCUGGAUUCUGUGCACGCUCAGGUACCGGAAGUACAGGAGAGGCCUCUAGCGGACGCUCCAACGUCGCGGAAACCAGGUAGUCACCGUCGAAAACUGACACUAGUGGCUCUGGCGACCAUGAACUUAGCUGCGUGCAUGUGUUACGCCAUCCCCGCUCCCUUCUUUCCCGGAUAGGUAACCUCCUGUUAGAAACUGAA